AGGCCAUGUUGAGGGUAGUUCGUUAGCAUGCCUUUAUACCUCUCCAUGUUUCAUAAAAAUAUUCACAAUCGUUUUUUUGGAAGUUUGCUAUAUUAUUCUUGAGUUU